GACGAACGCUGGCGGCUUGCCUAACACAUGCAAGUCGAACGGAGAUUAUUUCGGUACUCUUAGUGGCGAACGGGUGAGUAACGCGUGGGCAACCUGCCCUCUAGAUGGGGACAACAUCCCGAAAGGGGUGCUAAUACCGAAUGUGACAGCAAUCUCGCAUGAGGAUGCCGUGAAAGAUGGCCUCUAUUUAUAUGCUAUCGCUAGAGGAUGGGCUUGCGUCUGAUUAGCUGGUUGGUGGGGUAACGGCCUACCAAGGCGAGGAUCGGUAGCCGGUCUCCGAGGCUGAUCGGCGACCUGGGAACUCGAACAGCGCCACGAGUACUGAGACAGGCACCAGUCGGCAAUGUGCGGCAAUGGUGGAAAGCAUGACGGAGCAAGCGCGCGCCAGAUAUGAAGACGUCGGUUCCGUAAAGAUCUUUUGUUGAUGACAAACGUGUAGAUGCUGAAAAAUAGCCUGAAAUACGGGAAGUAAAGAAUAAGCCACGGCUAACUACGUG
rnacentral:rRNA from 1 species